CCCCACCCCCACCUGCUGCCGCCCCGCCCACCGCAACCGCCCCCCGCCGCCCAGGACGCCCAGCUGGAGGACGCCACCAGGAGCCUCCACAAGGCCCUCGCCCUGGAAGGUCUGAGGGACUGGUACCUGAGGAACACGAUAGGCUCCGCCCACCAGAACCAGGCCAACGGGAAGGUCAACGCAGGCGUCAACACCAAGGCCAACGGGGGGGUCAAAGGUCAGGCCGGAGGGGGAAGAGCUCUGACCGGCAGACGGAGGACUCACGGCGGACUCCAGCAGCCGGCCUAUCAGACGGAGACGAGUCAUCAGAAAAAGACGCUGCCGCAUUCAGCCACGUUCCACGGACACCCGCUGCACGGCAGGUCUGUGGAAAGCUCUCUCUACCAAGACUCAUUCCCUCCUCAGAAACUAGAAGACCAGCCAUCUCCUGGAACUCUGGUCUGACUCCCCGACCAAUCAGGAAGCUGAUCCCGGGCUGGCUUCUUGGGGUCAUACCUCUCUGGACCGCUGUGUCCCGCGGGUUCUUCGGGAGAACAGGGGUUACGUCCUAGGUCGUUAAAUGGCUUCCAUGUUUCCUCCAUGUGCUUCUCUUCCUCGCGUCUCAGUCCGUCCAACCAGGAAAGCACGGGAAGGAAACGAGGAAAUGUGUUUUUAGAAGGUUGGGACGUCCUUUCCUCAGAAGUGUCACAUGACUUUGUCAGCUGUGUGGGCGGAGUUAGCGACGACUUCCAGGAAGGAUGCUCUCUGUAUCCUCGCUCAUAGCUCCUCAGAGAUCCCUCCUCCAUCCUCGCUCAUAGCUCCUCAGAGAUCCCUCCUCCAUCCUCGCUCAUAGCUCCUCAGAGAUCCCUCCUCCAUCCUCGCUCAUAGCUCCUCAGAGAUCCCUCCUCCAUCCUCGCUCAUAGCUCCUCAGAGAUCCCUCCUCCAUCCUCGCUCAUAGCUCCUCAGAGAU